rnacentral:rRNA from 3 species
CCAACAGGGAUUGCCUCAGUAACGGCGAGUGAAGCGGCAACAGCUCAAAUUUGAAAGCUGGCUCUUGCAGAGCCCGCAUUGUAAUUUGUAGAGGAUGCUUCAGGUGCGGCGCUGGUCUAAGUUCUUUGGAACAAGACGUCAUAGAGGGUGAGAAUCCCGUAUGUGACUAGCUGCCUGGACCUAUGUGAAGCUCCUUCGACGAGUCGAGUUGUUUGGGAAUGCAGCUCAAAAUGGGUGGUGUACUUCAUCUAAAGCUAAAUAUUGGCCAGAGACCGAUAGCGCACAAGUAGAGUGAUCGAAAGAUGAAAAGCACUUUGGAAAGAGAGUUAAACAGUACGUGAAAUUGUUGAAAGGGAAGCGCUUGCAAUCAGACUUGCGCGGCGUCGAUCAACCUGGGUUCUCCCUGGUGCACUCGGCGCUGCUCAGGCCAGCAUCAGUUUCAGCGGUUGGAUAAAGGCCUAGGGAACGUGGGUUACUUCGGUGACUGUUAUAGCCCUAGGUGCAAUGCAGCCUGUUGGGACUGAGGACCGCGCUUCGGCUAGGAUGCUGGCGUAAUGGUUGUAAGCGACCCGUCUUGAAACACGGACCAAGGAGUCUAACAUCUAUGCGAGUUUUUGGGUGUUAAACCCAUAAGCGUAAUGAAAGUGAACGGAGGUGAGAACCCUUAAGGGUGCAUCAUCGACCGAUCCUGAUGUCUUCGGAUGGAUUUGAGUAAGAGCAUAGCUGUUGGGACCCGAAAGAUGGUGAUCUAUACUUGAAUAGGGUGAAGCCAGAGGAAACUCUGGUGGAGGCUCGCAGCGGUUCUGACGUGCAAAUCGAUCGUCAAAUUUGAGUAUAGGGGCGAAAGACUAAUCGAA